UAUACAAAGGUAUUGAAAUAAGAUUUUAAAUGAGUGCUAMGAGARUGAUUGAACAAUUAUAGGCUUUCUUUAGUUAAAUAAUUAAAUUUAAUUUUUUUAGUGCAAAAGCAAAAAUUAAAUUUAGGGACAAGAAGACCCUAUGAAUUUUAAUUUAAUUUAUAAUUUGAAAUUUUAAAUUAAAUUUGAUUGGGGCGAUGGAAAAAGAAUGAGUAUCUUUUUUAGUUYUAAAAAUUGGYUCCGUYUWWAACGAUUAAAUGAGAAAAAUACUCUAGG
rnacentral:rRNA from 1 species